UACGUAGGGACCAAGCGUUGCUCGGAUUUACUGGGCGUAAAGGGCGCGUAGGCGGCGUGGUAAGUCACUUGUGAAAUCUCUGAGCUUAACUCAGAACGGCCAAGUGAUACUGCUGUGCUAGAGUGCAGAAGGGGCAAUCGGAAUUCUUGGUGUAGCGGUGAAAUGCGUAGAUAUCAAGAGGAACACCUGAGGUGAAGACGGGUUGCUGGGCUGACACUGACGCUGAGGCGCGAAAGCCAGGGGAGCAAACGGG
rnacentral:rRNA from 1 species